GAUCAUGUCCCAUACUUUUCAACUCUCUCUGUCCACCUGCAGCCGACUCCACUUUAUGUACUGAUUCCACAAAUGUGGAGCCCCUGACCUCAGGCUGGUUACAGCCCAAUGAAGAAACACAGCAACAGCCUUACAACACAACACAAGCCAUGGAGAGAGCCCUGUAAGGGCCCCAAGCUCAAAACUCAUAGCCCAAGCUUUGACCAAGAGGUGAAAUUCAUUCUUGCCAUUAACCAAAUGUUAUGGGAACAGCCAGAACAACCUGAAUAGCAGGAGGCGAAGAUCCUAGCACUUCCCUAAACCAUCCAUUUGUGAGCAAUUUCAAAUAAUGACCAAUUUUCCUGGGGAGAGGGGUAAAUGAGAAGAAAAACCAAGUCCAAAGGUCUUAAUUCUGAGGGGAUGAAGAGGCUUGGCCUGUGUGGACAGAUAGUGUGCUUUCAUGGAAAGGCAAGACUUUUCUUUGAGAUAUACAGGAUUGGAAGCAGGGAAGAGGCUAAAGAUGUAGGCUGGGGAGGAGUGGAGUGGGAAGCAAUUCUCUGUCCUCCCUAUAGGCCCUCCUUUGUGGAAAAGAUCACUUAUAGAGAGUGGAAUUCUGGAGGAAUUCUCUCUACAGGAAAUAGAGACUGGGAUUCUGUUGAAAAACUGGGUAGGGAUGGCGACUGUUCCUUUGUCUCUGAGCUAGAGGUGGCAGUGGAACAGCCUGUAUCCCUGAGACUUGGAUGCCAAGGUUCCAGGGGGACCUGAAGGUCAAGUGGACACAGCAGGAGCAGCAUUUGUGCCACAUUGUCUCCCCAGUGCCAUGUCUAAGCGGGUGCCCACCAGAUGAGAGAACCCUGCAGGGGGCUAUAGGGAUCGUAUUAUGAAAACUGUGUUGGAUCCAACUGUGUUGGAUCAACAGCCAGGAUGAGUUUGCUUCACACUCACAGCAGUUUCCCGGGUGGAAGAAAUUUGAUGCCAAUUCUGCACACCCAAAUUCCUGGCAGAUUAAUCAGCAAGUAGUACAGAGAGCUGCUUUCUUUAAAAAGCUUCAUUUAUCACUCAAACUGUGAAUGCUGAGAUGCCAAGGCACUGUGGAGAAAUGAUCCUUUAGAGGUAAAGUUUGAAUGAUCUGGUAUAUGUAUCAGUACUCUUUGCAUGCAUUCCAAAUCUUGUAUAUAAUGCAGAUUAGAAUGGCAGCUUUUUCUACAGUUAUAUUGGCAACAAACACUGAUUAGCUAUUAAGGAUGGCAAAACAUUUAUUUCAGGCUUCUAUUAUUAGCACCACCUCUUGACUCACAGAGAAAAUUCUUCCCAAAGUUUUGGUUAAUGUGACAGUUUUAUUUGUUAAGACACACUUUUCCUUUAUCAUCAUUCUCCCACACAGAACCGACCCUCCAUUUCCAAGAUGCCUCCAGACCAAGGAGUUCCCAGUCUGUUCUCACCAUUCCAGUUGGCCCCAGGUCAGCCUGGCUCUAGGGCUUCCAUCUACAAUACAGUCCGAGGAAAGUGCUUCCUAUUACAUUAUAUUCAUGCUAACUAAACUGGCUAGGCAAUGCCCUGGACUUCUAAAGGAGUUCCCCACAGGAUUGAGUUGUCUUUGCCCUGUCCAGGGAGGAACCCCUCUCAUAUGCACAGAAUUCUCGCAGUACGCUAACGUGUGUUCUUCCCUUUAACAGUAGAACUCCUCAGUUAAGGCUGAACUCAUGGCCACUGCAUUAAGUU